rnacentral:rRNA from 1 species
GACGAACGCUGGCGGCGUGCUUGACACAUGCAAGUCGAACGGAAAGGCCCUGCUUUUGUGGGGUGCUCGAGGGGCGAACGGGUGAGUAACACGUGAGUAACCUGCCCUUGACUUUGGGAUAACUUCAGGAAAGUGGGGAUAAUACCGGAGAGGAGCUCCUGCUGCAUGGGGGGGGGUGGAAAGUUUCGGCGGUUGGGGAUGGACUCGCGGCUUAUCAGCUUGUUGGUGGGGUAGUGGCUUACCAAGGCUUUGACGGGUAGCCGGCCUGAGAGGGUGACCGGCCACAUUGGGACUGAGAUACGGCCCAGACUCCUACGGGAGGCAGCAGUGGGGAAUAUUGCACAAUGGGCGGAAGCCUGAUGCAGCAACGCCGCGUGCGGGAUGACGGCCUUCGGGUUGUAAACCGCUUUCGCCUGUGACGAAGCGUGAGUGACGGUAAUGGGUAAAGAAGCACCGGCUAACUACGUG